UACGGAGGAUCCAAGCGUUAUCCGGAUUCACUGGGUUUAAAGGGUGCGUAGGUGGAAUGACAAGUCAGUGGUGAAAACCUGCAGCUUAACUGUAGAACUGCCAUUGAUACUGUUAUUCUUGAGUACAUUUGAUGUGAGUGGAAUGUGUCGUGUAGCGGUGAAAUGCUUAGAUAUGACACAGAACACCAAUUGCGAAGGCAGCUCACAAAAACUGUAACUGACACUGAGGCACGAAAGCGUGGGGAUCAAACAGGG
rnacentral:rRNA from 1 species